rnacentral:rRNA from 1 species
UACGUAGGGGGCAAGCGUUAUCCGGAUUUACUGGGUGUAAAGGGAGCGUAGGUGGCAUGGUAAGCCAGAAGUGAAAACCCGGGGCUCAACCCCGCGGAUUGCUUUUGGAACUAUCAGGCUGGAGUGCUGGAGGGGUAAGCGGAAUUCCUAGUGUAGCGGUGAAAUGCGUAGAUAUUAGGAGGAACACCGGUGGCGAAGGCGGCUUACCGGACAGAAGCUGACACUGAGGCUCGAAAGCGUGGGGAGCAAACAGG